GUAUGCAAUGAUUAAGAAACGAAUGUUCGCAAAAUCUGGACAUACUUAACGUAAUUGUCAAUAAAGUCGUAAUCAUGUGGAGAAAGAAUUAAAUUCUUUUACGAUGUAUUUUUGGUUUUGAAUUGAUCAGUGUAGAUCACUUUAUUAUUAUUUUAUAUGUUAAAUAAAUAAUAAGAAACAUGGUAGACACAAAAAUAAUUGCAAACGAAGAACAAAAUUGUCAAGAGAGUAGAGUUCGUGCAAAUAGUUCUGGUACAACAACUUCGACACCUUCUUCUUUAUCUGAUUAUAUGACAGGAGAAGCAGAUGAUAGUUCUGACAGUAAAGGCAGCAUACCUUUCAAUUUAAAAUCCGUAGAACCUUUAGUUUCAUUAUCUAAGGCAACAUCUGAUGAAGAUCUACAAAGAAUGGUAGAAAAAUGUAAACAAAUGGUAUUAGAAAGCGCAGAAUGUUCAGAUGAAAGAAAAUGGCUUGUAAGGCGUUUAAUUGAAUUACGCUUACGAGUUCAAGAAUUGCGAGAAACAUCAGACAAGAAUCUUCUUGAAACUCAUGUAAUACUCGGUCAUCAUUUGGUUCCACAAAAGUAUCAUAUAACUUCUUCUGGACCUGUAUAUUGUGAUCAUUGUAGUGGCACAAUUUGGAUGAUGCUUCAGUCUUGGUACAUGUGCAGUGAUUGUAGGUUCUGUGUUCAUUGGAAAUGUUUAAAUAAUAUAUGUCGUGUGUGUGUACAUGUCAUUGCUAGUGAAGCUGGUGGUUAUACUUAUACUAAAGACAUUUGUCCAGAAAGAGGAUUAUCUAGUCAAGGAUAUCGCUGUGCAGAGUGCAAGAUACGAAUAACGUUUACAUUCCCGAAAGGAUUGUCAUUAUCUUGUUUUGGUAGUCCUUUUAAGAGUUCAGAAUCAGCAUGGAUAGAGCCACGACUAUGUGACUACAGUGGUUUAUAUUACUGUCAGAGAUGUCAUUGGAAUACGACUAUGGUAAUACCUGCAAGAGUUAUUAGAAAUUGGGAUAUGGAACCAAGGCUUGUUUGUCGUGCCGCAGCUCAAUUAUUGGCACUCCUUGAAGAUCGUCCAUUUUUAUUAUUGGAAGAAUUAAAUCCAAAAUUGUUUACGUUAGUCCCAGAUUUGUCUUUAGUAAAAAGAAUGAGAGAAGAAAUGCAAAUGAUGAAGCGUUAUUUAAUAAUUUGCCCAGAAGCUAAUAUACAAGGAUUGCCAUGGAAAGUUGGAUUGCGUACACAUAUAAUUGAAAAUCCUGGAAAUUAUUCGAUAAAAGAUCUUAUCGAUUUACAAAGUGGUGUUUUACUUGAAGAAAUUCGUGUUGCUUAUGAUAUUAUGCAUGUUCAUAUUACCGAACAAUGCGAAUUAUGUAAAGCUAGAGGUCAUUUGUGUGAAGUGUGUGGAAACAAUGAAAUUAUAUAUCCCUGGGAUGCUUGUGCAAUUAAUUGCCAACAAUGUCUAGCUGUGUACCAUCGUCCCUGUUGGUCUAAACGAAAUCACUCUUGUCCGCGAUGUGCACGGCUUGAAAAACGUCGAGCUUUAGAAGAAGGAGAACCUUCAAAUAUUAAGAACCUUUCUAAAAAUGAAUCAUCUGAACAACAUAAAGUUAAAAAUUCGCUUGAUUGUUAUCAGACUAUAAUUAAUAUCUGAUGAUGCAGUCAGUUGAUGGAAUAAAAUUCUGCUGAAUUGCCUCUAAACGAGCAGUCUUUGUUCAACUUGGUAAACGUUAUCGACUCUUUAUCGAAGCGAAAUAUAAAUUAUAACUAAAAAUGCUGUAUACACGACUCCUUGUAUUAAUGAUCUUGAUCUUAACGAUCGAACAGAGUAGAGGAAUAAAUAUUGGAUCAAUCUUUGGCUUCGGUCGAGAUCUUAAAAAUAAUGAAAACA